rnacentral:snRNA from 1 species
GGAUGUGAGGGGGAUCUGGCUGUGACAUCUGUCGCCCACUGAUCACCAGGGUUGAUUCAGCAGACCUGGCUGCCUAGGCAGGUGUCCCUGUCCUCCCUAAAUGAUCCAUGUGCAUUCCUCCCUAAGCUGUGCGCUCGGUCGAAGAGGAUGACCAACCCCAAUAGAGGAGGACUGUUCCUCGGUCAAGGGUAUACGAGUAGCUGCGCCCCCCUGCUAGAACCUCCAAACAAGCUCUCAAAAUGUUUCAUGAGACUUGAAAAAGAAAACUGCUGACAAAUUCAUAGAAUUAAAACAAUUCUCUCUAU